UAGUAACGGCGAGUGAAGAGGGAAAAGCUCAAAUUUUGAAUCUGGUGUCUUUGACUCCCGAGUUGUAAUCUAGAGAAGUGUUUUCCGUGUCGGACCACGUAUAAGUUCCCUGGAACGGGGCGUCAUAGAGGGUGAGAAUCCCGUAUAUGCCGUGGACUACCGAUGCUCUGUGAUACACUCUCAACGAGUCGAGUUGUUUGGGAAUGCAGCUCAAAAUGGGUGGUAAAUUCCAUCUAAAGCUAAAUAUUGGCGAGAGACCGAUAGCGAACAAGUACCGUGAGGGAAAGAUGAAAAGCACUUUGGAAAGAGAGUGAAACAGUACGUGAAAUUGUUGAAAGGGAAGCGUUUGAAGUCAGUCACGUUUGUUGGGAUUCAGCCUGGCUUCUGCCUGGUGUAUUUCCUAGCCGAUGGGUCAGCAUCAGUUUCGACCAAGGGAAAAAGACAUUUGGAAUGUGGCUGUCUUCGGGCAGUGUUAUAGCCUUGUGUUGUAUGCCUUGGUUGGGACUGAGGAAUGCAGCGCGCCUUAUGGCCGGGGGUCGCUCCUCUCGACACGCGCUUAGGA
rnacentral:rRNA from 1 species